GACGAACGCUGGCGGCGUGCUUAACACAUGCAAGUCGAGCGAACGGACGCCAGGUUUCUUGCUUACUCGUUAGGGGAGCAGGGGAGUAACACGUGUGGAAUCUGCCCUUCACACACGGGGAAAACUUCGGGAAUGGGGCGAAUACUCGGGAUGAUCUUUCGCAUUAUGUGGUUCAGAGGAAAGUGUUUCGGUUGAUGAUGAGUACGAGGGCUAUCGGCUUGUUGUAGGGGUGAGGGACUGCCAAGGCGACGCCGGGUAGCCGGCCUGAGGGGGCGAUCGGGUCCAUUGGGCCUGAGAUACGGCCCAGACUCAUACUGGCGGCAGCAGCGGGGAAUAUUGCAAAAUGCGCGGAAGCCUGAUGCAGCGACGCCGCGUGAGGGAUGACGGUUUUCGGGUUGUAACACUCUUUCAGCAGGGACGAAGCGUAAGUGCCGGUACUUGCAGAAGAAGCACCGGUUACUUCUGU
rnacentral:rRNA from 1 species